GAUGAACGCUGGCGGCGUGCUUAACACAUGCAAGUCGAACGGAAAGGCUCCUGCUUGCAGGGGUACUCGAGUGGCGAACGGGUGAGUAACACGUGGGUGAUCUGCCCUGCACUUCGGGAUAAGCCUGGGAAACUGGGUCUAAUACCGGAUAGGACCACAUUUUGGAUGGUGUGGUGGAAAGUUUUUCGGUGUGGGAUGAGCUCGCGGCCUAUCAGCUUGUUGGUGGGGUAAUGGCCUACCAAGGCGUCGACGGGUAGCCGGCCUGAGAGGGUGUACGGCCACAUUGGGACUGGGAUACGGCCCAGACUCCUACGGGAGGCAGCAGUGGGGAAUAUUGCACAAUGGGCGCAAGCCUGAUGCAGCGACGCCGCGUGGGGGAUGACGGCCUUCGGUUGUAAACUCCUUUCGCUAGGGACGAAGCGUUUUUGUGACGGUACCUGGAGAAGAAGCACCGGCUAACUACGUG
rnacentral:rRNA from 1 species